UACGGAGGGAGCUAGCGUUGUUCGGAAUUACUGGGCGUAAAGCGCGCGUAGGCGGCUUUGUAAGUUAGAGGUGAAAGCCCGGGGCUCAACUCCGGAACUGCCUUUAAGACUGCAUCGCUUGAAUCCGGGAGAGGUGAGUGGAAUUCCGAGUGUAGAGGUGAAAUUCGUAGAUAUUCGGAAGAACACCCGUGGCUAAGGCGGCUCUCUAGUACGGUACUGACGCUGAGACGCGAAAGCGUGGGGAGCGAACAGG
rnacentral:rRNA from 1 species